GCCUUUGUGGUGUAGUGGUGAGCACGCAUGACACGUAUUCGAGAGGUCCGUGGUUCCAGUCCCGGCGAAGGCA
rfam:Stegodyphus mimosarum contig4744, whole genome shotgun sequence.